rnacentral:rRNA from 1 species
UACGGAGGGUGCAAGCGUUGUCCGGAUUUAUUGGGUUUAAAGGGUGCGUAGGCGGCUCCUUAAGUCAGCGGUGAAAGCCCGGGGCUCAACCCCGGAACCGCCGUUGAUACUGGGGGGCUUGAGUAUGGACGAGGUUGGCGGAAUUGAGGGUGUAGCGGUGAAAUGCUUAGAUACCCUCAAGAACACCGAUUGCGUAGGCAGCUAACUAGGCCAUAACUGACGCUGAGGCACGAAAGCGUGGGGAGCAAACAGG